GGGACUGGGACUCAGUGUUAAAGUACUUGCCUCACAUGCACAAGGUCCUGAGUUCAAGUCUCAGCAGUCCCA
rnacentral:tRNA from 1 species